rnacentral:rRNA from 1 species
UAGUUUUUUUAGAAAUAAAUUUAAUUUACGAAUUUUUAAUUUUUAAUUUAUUUUUAUAAGUUAAAAAUUUAUUAAUUUGAAUAUUUUAAGGGAUGAGCUUUAAAAUAAAAUAUUAAAAAUUUUUAAUAAUUGUUAAAAAUGUAUGUUUAGAAUUAGCAAUCAUUUGUAAAUUUGUUAUAAAUUAUUUUAUAAAUUUUAUUAUUUAAUUUAUUUUAAUUUGUUUAUAAAAAUUUUUUUAUGAAUAUUUUGUAAAAAGUAAUAAUGAUUUAAUUAGUAUAAAUUAAAUAUUGUUUAGAUAAUUUAUUUUGUAAAGUUUAUAUAAAGAACUCGGCAAAUUUAUUUAUUUAUACCCGCCUGUUUAACAAAAACAUGUCUUUUUGAAUUGUAUUUAAAGUCUAACCUGCCCACUGAAUAAAUUUAAAUGGCCGCAGUAUUUUGACUGUGCAAAGGUAGCAUAAUCAUUAGUCUUUUAAUUGGAGGCUGGUAUGAAUGGUUGGACGAGGUAUAAGCUGUUUCAUAUAAAUUUAUUUUAGAAUUUUAUAUUUUAGUUAAAAAGCUAAAAUUUUAUUAAAAGACGAGAAGACCCUAUAAAUCUUUAUAUUUAAUUUUAUUUAAGUUUUUUUGAUUUGUUUUAUUUUUAUAAUAUUAGAUAUUUUGUUGGGGUGAUAUUAAAAUUUAAUGAACUUUUAAUUGUUUAAAAUCAUUAAUUUAUGAAUUAUUGAUCCAUUAAUAUUGAUUAUAAGAUUAAGUUACUUUAGGGAUAACAGCGUAAUUUUUUUUGAGAGUUCAUAUCGACAAAAAAGUUUGCGACCUCGAUGUUGGAUUAAGAUAUAAAUUUGGGUGUAGCUGUUC